rnacentral:lncRNA from 13 species
CCGGCCGCAUAAAUCGACGGUAGAUACGGCCGUUGGUCGCGCUCACGCGUGUUCAGCCGCGCGUUCGGUCGCUCUCUGCUCCCGCCCGCCUCGCUCUGCGUUCUCUACUCGUUUCGCCAUCGCGUCUCGCUCGCUCUCUGCUCCUCUUUCUCUCUCUCUCUCUCUCCCUCGUCCUCCCCGCGCGCCCGCGUCGGCACCGGUAUACAUAUAUUGAAAGUAAUCUACUGUCGGAUUACUUUGACGGCGCAGCCUGGCCCUAAGCGGAUCAAAGAGACCUUCUCUCCUCCUCUCUUUCUUUCGCCCGCGUGCGCGCGGCAAGGUGCCGGUCGGCGGAGCUCCCCCGCGUCCGUCUCGCGUCAAGAAAGGGAGGGGUGCAGAAGAAGAAGAAGACUGCGCCGCUACGCGCGGACUCGCGUCUAAUGCGGCAUUCGCAUUAAAGCCCGACGAUCAUCCCGGUCGUGUUCUGGGUUCUGGCCUGCCUUUCAUCUCACGCUGAUUUAACCGUGCUGUAAAAAGAAUUUACUGGAUCGUAUAUACCGCGCGCGUCGUUGGUGGGACUACGACCGGAGUUGAAAAGCUGGCGGCGGAGGGCUGAAAGCUGCUGGUUCACGGAGGAGGAGAAAGAGGGCUGGUGUGCGAGUCACACAUUGACUGGGAGCGAACAAAAAUAAACACUGAAAGUUUCUCAGGUACAGAGAAAAACGAUUAUUGAAGCGAGAAUGUCUCUUUUGUACACGGCAAAUAUACGCAUCCGUUCACUACUUCAGGCGUCGUAUUUUGUCAAAAAUCGAAAGUCGAAGAUAGACUCCCGACGGAGAUACAAAUUGUACGAAAUCUAUUGAAUGGGAAGAGACCAUAGAGGCCGUAGAGGGAUAACCGCCAGGAAAGAUGGUAGAAAGCAAUAGCAUUGAUUGGAUCGUUUCUACACUUUCAGAAGAGGAUUUUCCGAGAUCAAAAUUGUUGGUCCCUUGUGACCAAUUUUCGGGUGACAUUGUCCGAUCGCACGUGCGGGAUUGGGGAUAUGCGUUGCAUAAUAAGUUCUCUUCACUCGGACACUAUGUUAUGACGCAGACGUAGCUACGCCAUUGGCACCACGGACACCGCACGAAGUGCGUGUAUGGACGGUUGUUUAGGAUUACAACACACAAAGAUAACCACCAGCAUGCGAUACAUAAUGCAGCAGGCAUUGUGAGCCAUACCGCGCCCUCCUGCAUACAAUACGUUCUACCGAUGCAUUCUAUUGUUGUCUUUCGAAAUAAACUCAGUCAGCCACCACCUCUCCCCGGGGCUCUAUAUUAUCUCCAUACGCAUAAUACAUAUUGCAUUCACGAUUCUCGUUUAGCUUGCCACUUUACCUUGGCGUAUUUGACAGAGCAGCCUUUGAGACGACUGUGUUAACCUUACGCAAAGACGCAGUUCAUCUUAUUGUUAUUAAAAUUAUGCCAACAAUGAUUUCGAGACACGUGACUAAGCACUUAUACAACGUUACCGAUUUCAAGAUGUUUUUUGAAAGGUAUCGGCAGCGAUGAUGAUACAACAAUGCGUUUAUAAUACACACUUGAAAUGAUUAAAUAAAAAUAUUCAUCAAACUA